GGGUGAAGUCGUAACAAGGUAACCGUAGGGGAACCUGCGGUUGGAUCACCUCCUUACCUAAAA
rnacentral:rRNA from 1 species